CCUGCCCCUAGAGGUGUUGGAAAUGUGGCUGCUGCAUCAUAUGUGUGUCAGUGCGUGGCAGAAAAGAGAGAGGCUAUGUCUAUGCUCAAUAUUCUGACCUAUAAACAUCUGAAUGAUUAGUAACUUAACAAU